UACGAAGGGGGCUAGCGUUGUUCGGAUUUACUGGGCGUAAAGCGCACGUAGGCGGAUCGAUCAGUCAGGUGUGAAAUCCCAGGGCUCAACCCUGGAACUGCCUUUGAUACUGUCGAUCUGGAGUAUGGAAGAGGUGAGUGGAAUUCCGAGUGUAGAGGUGAAAUUCGUAGAUAUUCGGAGGAACACCAGUGGCGAAGGCGGCUCACUGGUCCAUUACUGACGCUGAGGUGCGAAAGCGUGGGGAGCGAACAGG
rnacentral:rRNA from 1 species